rnacentral:misc_RNA from 1 species
UACAGAGGUGGCAAACGUUGUCCGGAUUUAUUGGGUGUAAAGGGCAUGCAGGUGGUUCCGUAAGUCAAAGGUGAAAUGGCCCGGCUCAACCAGGUCAUUGCCUUUGAAACUGCGGGGCUUGAGUGCGGAAGAGGAGAGCGGAAUUCCCAGUGUAGCGGUGAAAUGCGUAGAUAUUGGGAGGAACACCGGUGGCGAAGGCGGCUCUCUGGUCCGAUACUGACACUGAGAUGCGAAAGCCAGGGGAGCAAACGGG